rfam:Otolemur garnettii contig012796, whole genome shotgun sequence.
AACAGUCAAACAAAUUAGCAAUGAGGCCACCAAGAGAGUACAUUCAACCCUGAUUCAGAGAUAUCUCAGUUUAUCAGUUUUUCUGUCAAUCAUUAAAAUAAGAAAGAUGAAACAUCCAAUUAUACACAAGGAGACAGAAUUCUUUCAUCAUAGCCAAGACAGAAGAAUUUUAAUUGCUUGGAAAAGUAAGACUUUUGUUUU